UACGUAGGUGGCAAGCGUUGUCCGGAUUUACUGGGCGUAAAGAGCGCGCAGGCGGUCGUUCAAGUCGCGUGUGAAAGCCCCCGGCUCAACUGGGGAGGGUCACGCGAUACCGAUCGACUCGAAGGCAGGAGAGGGUAGUGGAAUUCCCGGUGUAGUGGUGAAAUUCGUAGAUAUUCGGAAGAACACCAGUGGCGAAGGCGACUUACUGGACACAUAUUGACGCUGAGGUGCGAAAGCGUGGGGAGCAAACAGG
rnacentral:rRNA from 1 species